rnacentral:rRNA from 1 species
GACGAACGCUGGCGGCGUGCUUAACACAUGCAAGUCGAACGGAAAGGCCCUGCUUGCAGGGUGCUCGAGUGGCGAACGGGUGAGUAACACGUGGGUGAUCUGCCCCUUACUUUGGGAUAAGCCCGGGAAACUGGGUCUAAUACUGGAUAGGACCAUGCUGUAGGUGGUGUGGUGGAAAGAUUAGUUUCGGUAAGGGAUGAGCUCGCGGCCUAUCAGCUUGUUGGUGGGGUAAUGGCCUACCAAGGCGUCGACGGGUAGCCGGCCUGAGAGGGUGGACGGCCACAUUGGGACUGAGAUACGGCCCAGACUCCUACGGGAGGCAGCAGUGGGGAAUAUUGCACAAUGGGCGCAAGCCUGAUGCAGCGACGCCGCGUGGGGGAUGACGGCCUUCGGGUUGUAAACUCCUUUCAGCCAUGACGAAGCCCUUGUGGUGACGGUAGUGGUAGAAGAAGCACCGGCUAACUACGU